ACACUAUUAUAAGUACAUAGAAGAGUGUCAUUUACAGCUGGUGUGGCCCUGUGGUGGUAUGGACCCAGACUUUUAAGCACAGAUAAAGAUCAGACAGACACUGAUGUCCCGAAUCUGAUAAAGAAAUGAAGAAUUCAGAGCCGGAUCCUAACCUCAAGCUAAGAAAUAAAAAAAGGAAGAAAAAAUCAAGAAGCUCAGAACAGAACUCCAGCAAUACUGAACACAGGAGCAUGGACCAUCAGGCUGCUCGUAGACUUCAGGAUCUUUUCAACCAGUUCUACAGGCAGAUAGAGGGCCAUCCCCACCACAAUCUCUACCACAACCAUCUCUUCCUAGAGGAUGUUUUACUCCUUCUCCAACUCCUUUACAUGAACUAAGUAGGAAACCAUCAUCAUGACCGUCACCCUUGCAGACAGCCUGUACUACAACCUUUGUUAAGAGACCUACUCUCCAGGAUCCCCACCUGCUAUCUUACGGAGUGAAAUAGAAAUAAAUGUGUUAGCCUCAA